rnacentral:rRNA from 1 species
GAUGAACGCUGGCGGCGUGCCUAAUACAUGCAAGUCGAGCGAACGGACGAGAAGCUUGCUUCUCUGAUGUUAGCGGCGGACGGGUGAGUAACACGUGGAUAACCUACCUAUAAGACUGGGAGAACUUCGGGAAACCGGAGCUAAUACCGGAUAAUAUUUUGAACCGCAUAGUUCAAAAGUGAAAGACGGUCUUGCUGUCUCUUAUAGAUGGAUCCGCGCUGCAUUAGCUAGUUGGUAAGGGAAAGGCUUACCAAGGCAACGAUGCAUAGCCGACCUGAGAGGGUGAUCGGCCACACUGGAACUGAGACACGGUCCAGACUCCUACGGGAGGCAGCAGUAGGGAAUCUUCCGCAAUGGGCGAAAGCCUGACGGAGCAACGCCGCGUGAGUGAUGAAGGUCUUCGGAUCGUAAAACUCUGUUAUUAGGGAAGAACAUAUGUGUAAGUAACUGUGCACAUAUUGACGGUACCUAAUCAGAAAGCCACGGCUAACUACGUG